rnacentral:tRNA from 1 species
GGCCGCGUAGUUUAAUGGAUAAAACGAAGGUUUCCGGUACCUUUGAUGUGAGUUCGAUUCUCGCCGUGGCUA